UGGGCUUCCGAGACUUGGUGAGGGAGCCGUCCCUGGCCAGCGGGCGCUCGGAGCCGAAAGGUGGAGCCACGACUUGGACCCAGGGCUCAGCCCGCUCGGCCGCCCCGACGCCGGCGGCGCACGCCCAGCUCGCGCGCAGGACGGCAUUGUUACGCCGUCGCCUCCGUGAAGACCCGGCGAGCUCCGACGCCCGGGAAGGCAGUCGUAACUCCCGCUUACAUGAAGGAAGAAACGAGACCACAUUCUUUUUGGGGGGUGGGGGCAGUGGCAGCACGCCCAGUGCCCAUAGGCCCGCCGAGCAGUGUUAUGGACUCCAGAGGCGGGCCGCCGGCGAAGGAGUCUCUCCCACGAGCAACGCAGCAGAAUAGGAGCAGUCUCCCUCGCCAAAGCCUGCAGU